rnacentral:rRNA from 1 species
GAUGAACGCUGGCGGCGUGCUUAACACAUGCAAGUCGAACGAAGCACUUUAUUUGAUUUCCUUCGGGACUGAUUAUUUUGUGACUGAGUGGCGGACGGGUGAGUAACGCGUGGGUAACCUGCCUUGUACAGGGGGAUAACAGUUGGAAACGGCUGCUAAUACCGCAUAAGCGCCCAGCAUCGCAUGAUGCAGUGUGAAAAACUCCGGUGGUAUAAGAUGGACCCGCGUUGGAUUAGCUAGUUGGUGAGGUAACGGCCCACCAAGGCGACGAUCCAUAGCCGACCUGAGAGGGUGACCGGCCACAUUGGGACUGAGACACGGCCCAAACUCCUACGGGAAGCAGCAGUGGGGAAUAUUGCACAAUGGGCGAAAGCCUGAUGCAGCGACGCCGCGUGAGCGAAGAAGUAUUUCGGUAUGUAAAGCUCUAUCAGCAGGGAAGAUAAUGACGGUACCUGACUAAGAAGCACCGGCUAAAUACGUG